AGCUCGACUCACAAUCGAGAGGGCCGGGUUCGAAUCCCGGCGCGGCGAGGCUAAACGCAUUGGUUAGGUGGAGAUGUGGCACCAGCGCCCAUGUUCCAACGCUUUCAGCUGAGCCCAGGGAGAAGUGGAGCGAAUAGAUCACCAAGUCAACUGUUAUCACAUCUGUAUUUCGUACAUAAGACCUCACCAUGGAUGAAUUUACUGAUAUCCAUGACCUGGAGGAAUUAGAGGCUGUGGAAGAGCUGGGGCCUCACAGAUGGCUACUGCAAGAAAUCUCUUCCCUUCGACAUUGAUGAGCCAGAAAAUGUUCAACACCAUCAUGAUACUGCCCCACCAGUACCAGCUUCAGGUUUUAAUGUAGCCCAUGUCAUUGAGAAUCAUUUCUCAUUUCUGUGUGUGUGUGUGUGUGUGUGUG